rnacentral:rRNA from 1 species
UACGUAGGGGGCAAGCGUUAUCCGGAUUUACUGGGUGUAAAGGGAGCGUAGACGGCGAAGAAAGUCUGGAGUGAAAGCCCGCGGCUUAACCGCGGAACUGCUUUGGAAACUUUUUGGCUGGAGUACCGGAGAGGUAAGCGGAAUUCCUAGUGUAGCGGUGAAAUGCGUAGAUAUUAGGAGGAACACCAGUGGCGAAGGCGGCUUACUGGACGGUAACUGACGUUGAGGCUCGAAAGCGUGGGGAGCAAACA